rnacentral:lncRNA from 1 species
CUCUGUUCCCAGCUUAGAGGACCAGAGGGAGAAGCCACCUGCUACACGCUGGAUGCUGCAGCCUGUGCCACUGUGGCUCACAUCGCUGUGGUUGGUGGCAGCAACGGAGACUGCAGCCAGCUGGAGUGCUGUGAUGACAGUGCUUAUCAAUCCUGUCCCCGCCACACCACCAACAUACACAGAAAAAAAGCAGGCAAUGAGUUGGCUCCGGGAUGACCUCGUAUGAAGACGUUUCAUUCCUUAGUCUUGGCAAUUGACAUCACAAACUUGGGUACAAGCUACAAAAUUAAGGUGAGUGGUAAUUCUGUUUCCUGACAAAACUGAAAAACAGUCAUUAGUCAGCUGGCAGCACCGUAACCCUAGUUCUUCAGAUGAUCUCCUAACAAGAGAGGCACGGAUGAUGCACUAGACAUGGCGAGGGCCCCUCAUUUAGUGCUGCUGGGAGGCAGCUGAGCCCUCUGUUGCUGAGCAGGGGGGUUCCGCCUGUUUCUAGCAUCCUCUGAUCCGUCAGUGGACGCUCUCUGCUUUGAAGGACUUGUUACCUGCUCUCGGCUGCUGGGGCCUCUCAGUUCCUACGUUGUGUGGGGCACAGUCCAUUCUUGAGACUUACACUCAGCUAGGUUAAUUCUUAAGUCUUUUCUUAUUUAUUAUCAUAACAAUUUUACAAAUUAUGGAUGGCUCAAAAGAACAAGAUCAGUGAACAGCCUUUCCUAACUCCAGGCAGAGCUCAGAGGUAGAUACUUUGUAUGUGUUAACUGCCUAAUUUGUUUUUCCUUCAUUCACUCGUCUCCCUUCUCUUACUUCUCCAUUCCCCCGUUUUGAGAAUGAAACCAAUUUUUUCCCUCCAAAGCUAAAAAAUGUUUUGUCUAUAGAAUCCCCUAAAAGUUCUCCAGAUAAUUUUUUUUUGUACUUUAAAAAAGCAAACAAGGUGGGAAGAUGGCUUGAGCCCAGGAGGACGAGGCUGCAGUGAGCUGUGAUUGCUCCACUGAGCUCUGGCCUGGGCGACAGAGAGAGACCCCGUUUCAAAACCCAAAAACCAAAAACAAAAACAAGUACUGCAGACUUAGAUCAGUAUGUAACUUAUGAACUGAUCUUAAAAGGAACAUAUCAGCGUUCACACUUUGACUCUGCACUAAGUCUCUGAUAUAAUCAGGCCAGGAUACAGAAUGACAUGGAAGUGAGGCCCCUCUGGAGCAGGCUCAGCUGCCUCCUCAGCACCCACAACCCUGAUCUGGGGCAGGGAGGGACAGGCAGUGAGAGCAGCAACCUCUUUGUGGGGCAGAGUCUUGUGGGCCUGGGAGCUGGACUGUUGCUGUGACUCUGCCCUUUUACACUCAAGGCUUGACACUUUUCUCCUAGAACUUAACACUAACAAUACAUGCACUCCCAUUUAAGGAAAUGUUUACAAACAUUAGGUCAAAUUCAGCAAAGGCCACAUCCUCACCUGAAGAAAGCAGAGACGUGCCCAGUUAUCCCUGAAUCCUUUGCUGCCUCCAGCUUUGCAGCACGCAGAAAGCCCCCAUCUCUCUGCAGGUGCCACCCUCGCUCCACCCAAACCUGAUCUUAAACCAUUCCACCUGAGAGGGUCUUAUGACCUGGUCUCAGGUCACAACCAACAAUCAAUUUCCAGCCAAAUCAAUCAAUCCGGUAAAGCAGAGUGAUCCAGAAAACAACAGCCAAGGAGAGAGGAGGGAAAAGAGCAGCUUUAGGAGACCAAAAUUCACAUAAACUUGGCAGUGAAUGAAGUAGAUUUAAGUAUUGGGCAUAAGUAAUAUAUAUAUAAUAAUAAGUAUAUAUAACAGGAAGAAAUGAAGGUCAGGAAUUGUCUGCAAGAUGCUCCCAUACCCGACUCACCUCUCUCAACCAGGGAAGGAGGCAGCAGGUGCUGUGCUAAGUGGUUGUACUUACAAAGAGGAAUAAAAGAAUGCAGCUGUCCACUUUGCUCUUAUAUAUUAGCUGUGUUAGUUUUUUAAAAAAAUACUUGAAAUUUAUUUUAAAACAUACUCUACAACAUACAAGAAAUUAUUAAAGAUGCAAAAAAAAAA